AAGUGCACAACCCGCCCCAGCUCUACAUACAUUCUAUGUUCGGACGUAUCUAGAAGUCUUAACAUGAUAAGAUGCUUGCUUUAAUGAGUUUUGUGUAAUAAAUGUUUAUGUUUAUGAUGACUUACAUGUUUGUGUGUGUAUGGACGUUCUUGGAAAUGCUAGAUUGAAUUUAAAUGAUUUGUAUGUUUGUUUGAGACCUAGCUCACCCUUGCAUUUGUAUGUGUUGUAUGUGUUUGCCUUCCUCCUUGCAAUGAUCAUCCAAUCCUUUGGAUGUGGGCAGUAGGUGAUGAUGUUCCAUUGGAGCAAGCGUUGGAGACUGAGGAAGACCCAGCCCCUGAUGCUUAGGA
rnacentral:lncRNA from 1 species